rnacentral:tRNA from 1 species
UCCCUGGCAGUCCAAUGGUGGUUGGGACUCUGCACUUACAAUGCCGGGGGCGCAGGUUCGAUCCCUGGUCAGGGAA